UUCUGAACAAAUGUCUUCAAGACAUUUAGAAUGUCUUCAAGAAUUUGUAUUACUUAGUGGGGAAAAUCCAUUAUUCUCCAUCCUUCAAGAAAUUUGAUCUAAUUCUCUGAAAAAUUUUAUAGACAAAUGACCAAAUCCUUUAAAAACUUACAUCUGGGAUGUAGAGGCAUCUCCUGGAAUAAAAUGUUCAUCUAAGCUAGAAUCUGCAUUUGGUUUUCUUAAAUAUUCCCCUGGUUUGGGAAGCAGAGGAAUGGCAUUUUAGUGAUCAUCGUUAAUUUUUUCAGUCUCCCCACUGUUUUUCUUUCUUUUUUUUUUUUUUAAUUACUCUAUGGCUGAAGGGUUACAACACCCAGAGAAGCUACAAGGCUAAUCAUUCUUCAUCGCCUUCUAUUGAUCCUAAAGCUAGAGCUGGAGUGCAGUUAGACACAAACACUAAUCCAAUCGUAUAACAGGCAGCCCCAUAUGGUUUGUCACCGGCUUUGCCAUAAGCCAAUCAAUAAUCACUUUGAUGAAGAAAAAUUAAUGUAGCCCUUUUUUUUUGACCAAAAGGCCAUUUGUGCUCUGAAUGCUGCAACUACCAAAUGACAGCGAGGCGUUACAGACUUCUCAGUCACUUCAGUGUCCACCCGAACAGCUCUUGCAAUGGAUGGUAGGUAACUUAGGAAAUGAUUCUCAUUUCUGGGAUUACCGCAGAGCCAAGAACAGAACUAACUUGAGCCACACACCUUGCUUCUAAGAGCCUUUAGAAGAGACUAAAAUGAGUAGCACUUCCAUUGUAACGGAAACAAAACAUGGCCCUGAAGGACCGAGAUCAGCAUGAACCACUGGACUUAGGAGGCUUGUGAUGGAGGUUCACCUGGAGGCUUUUAUUCUUCACUCUGUGGCUGAGCAUUGCAAGAUUGGAGAGUGAAUCCACUGUGAGAACCUGGGACUUGUGCUGCAAUUGCAGAAGGACUCCAGCAGGUCAGGAUUGAAGAUGAGGGACGAUGACCAGUGACAACAUUCACUGUAUGCUUGGUUUCAUCCAGUGAAUAAUUCCCCAGUAACAAGCACUCAGUACUCACAGUGAGCUGCCUUUGAUCAGAUGAGAGGUGAAACAAAGACAUCACAGUAAACAUAAAAAAUAACAACAAAUAUCUGAAUAUACAAAGGAAGUGAGAUCCUCUUGAAGAUUCCCCACCACCUUUGUGUUAACUAAAUACAUGGUAUACUGAAU
ensembl:lncRNA